rnacentral:lncRNA from 1 species
CUCCUUCUCUCUCUCUCUUAGUUUUCAAUUCUCUUUAUUGAACGCCCCUCUCCUUCGCUAUGGAGAAGCUUCUGGCUAUGUCUAUCCUGAGCUCAGGGCCGAAUUUCUCCGGCGACGGGAAGUCCGACGGAUGGUUCAACCACGGUUGGAUGGGAGGGAAGAAGAACAAACAGGAGGAGAGCAAAGGCGGGAGCGACAAAUCCCGCACGCCGCCGGUGCUGGCAAAGAAGCUGGGGCAGCAGCAGAAGAGCAAGUCGGCGGCUCGGUUCGCGGUGGAGUUGGACGGGCUUCACUGCUUUGAGACGAUUGUUCCUCGAUGAUCAUUCUUUUUCUUGAUUCUUUCUUGUUUUCCUCGAUGUCUUUGAGAUUGUUUUAAUUGAUCGAAUUACACAGUAAUUAAUGCUAGCAACCUGUGAAUACCUUGCUUGUGAUGACAAAAAUAUUUCUUUAGAAUUCAAUACUGCAAUCCUUGUUUCUUUUCUCAUAAUUUUGUUCGAUCAUAUAUUUGGUUACGAUUCAUUCAAAGACUUAGAUGGGUUCUAAAGAAAUUACUCUACCCUGAAUGACCCGCAAUUCGAAUUAUAUACAAAUUAACGUGGCUAGCGUGUUAUUUUUACCGGUCGGAGAACUUCUUUCUACUGUUUGUUUGGAAGUUCAUACAACAGGGUUGCUUUGCUUGCCUUUUCUUGAUACCUUUCCCCCGUGAUGAAGGUGCCAAUCUCCCUCAUGAAUUAGCGUUGUAGAAUCUAAAUACAGGGCUGAGAAGGAAAGUAAUUUCUUGCGAGAAAGGGAAUUGGAUUCCAUACCAUCCAGUAGGACAAAAGUAAAGAAGAAAAAGCACUAAAGAAUAAUUAAAGAAAAAAUACAAAAUAAUAAAAAAAAAAGAAGAAGAGAGGAGGCGCACAAAUCCUUCCUCUCUAUCAGUAGACAUAGAAGGAAGCCGGCUCCAUCGGGACUUCUCUUCCCGUUCAACAAAAUCCUCGGUUUCGCGGUCGAGAAGCCGCUGAACAUGUCAGCUCGCGAGGGCAGGGGAGGCUCUGUUUCGCGCCGGAGUGAAUUUGAUGGGUUCCGUUAUUUCGAGACCAUCGCCUCCCACUUAAAGUUUUCGUUCAUUUCUUUAUGCAAUUAUAGCUAGGUUCUGGAGAUUAUUUAUUGAACUAUUUUGCCUCUCCAGAAACUAUAGCAAUUUUGCUCCGAAAACGAAGAAAAGAAAGAAAAGAAAAUAGAGCAGUAACAGGACUAGCUCUGUGAGUUCUUCGUCUGGCUAUCCAUCAUCUCUACUGGUUUUUAAAGCCAAAAGCUACUAUGAAUAAUUCUAUUGCCUCGAUGAUGAAAAGAACUCUAGAAUUGAAAAAUAUUUUCAACUUUCAUAUAUAGCGUUUCUAUUAGAAUUGCUCCACGGAUCUCUCCUUGUCGACCUUGCAAGGAGUCAAGGAUUAAAGGACGUAGGAAUUGAACUGACUAUAGACAUCGCCAGUAGCUUCUCCCUAACAAAGUGGUCUUGAGGGCUCGUUUGGUUCGCGAAAAGCAUUUUCCUCCUAUAAAUAUGAUUUUUGGAAAGAAGAUUUCUAUUAAGGGAAUACCUGAAAAUGUACUUUUGGUAUGUUUGGUUAAACAUAGAAAAGUGACAGAUUUUCAGAAUGCUUAUGUUUGGUUGACCGUUCACUUUCUUGAAAAAGUUAUGUGUAAUUCCUAUUAUAUUCUUAAUAAAAAUUAGAUUUUUAAUAUCUCUUUAAUGCUGAAGGAUCUUUUUGAAGAAAAAAAUAAAAAUGGAAUGAUUUCUGCCUUAUGAAAAAGUAACUUUGUCAUGUUUCUCAUGGAAAAGACUUUUCCAUAAAAUGUGGGUACCAUAUUUCCAUUGAAAUAUAAUUUUUUCAUCUCUCUCAUUUGAAAACUCCAACCAAACAAGAGACAUCUCAUUACUUUUUUUUGACCAUAUUUUCCUCCCUUCUUUUUUCGCGAGCCAAACGAGCCCUAAGUGGUGGUGGGAUUCGGUUUCGAACAAAGGAGUAGUUUAAGCAGAGAAAAUUGAUGACUUGAUUAGCGGGCGACAUGGAUGCUUUUGGAGAGAAAGAUGGAUGAAAACGUGUUUUGGGGUUCAGAUUGAGGGCGUCUUUUCUUAAUUCCUAGCGUUGGAACUUGGAACGAGACUAAGUUCUAAUCGUUUCGUGGGGUCAAAUCAACCCUUCGACCGUCGCGUUGAUCGCAUGCUGACUUCAAACUUCUCUCUGGCGGCCACGAAUCGUGAGGGGGUCAAAAUAGCUUCAGCCUAGAGCUGAUCAAACGUUGGCCAGGUCCGAUUUGGACCGGACUCGAUGGUUGAAAUUAAUUCCCAUGUUUAUAUCCAGGUCCAACCCAGCUCGGAUGUCGGGCCUCUAUCUUUUGUUCAGGCUUGGCCCAAUCCAGAAAGAUCAAUACCACACUCGCCCAAGAGACAAUAUCGAUAUAUUUACGACAUAUAGUACAAGAUUUUUAUUAUUAUAAUAUAUAAUUAGUUAAUAUAAUUAUUAUAUAAUAUAUAUAUAUAUAUAUAUAUAUAUAAUUAUUUCGGGCCGGGUCGGGUCCAUAUUAAAUAUAUAUAAUAUAGAAUUGUAGGUUAAAGAAGUCACCAAUAGUUUGGCUUGAGAAGUUUAGUGGUGCAGUGAGAAGGGUUGAAUAUAAUCAGCUGAUCACACCAUAUUUCUGAGAAGGGAUGGAUCAAACAUUACUAUCCUCCUUGUCUAUGUUGGGGAUAUUAUUAUUACUAUAAAUUAUUCAAAUGAGGCUUACAAAUUAAAAGCACUUCUUAGAGAGUUUUGAGAUUAAAGAUCUAGCUCCUUAAAAUAUUUCUUUGGUAUAGAAGUUGCUCGGUCGAAAAUCGAAAUAUGAUUGACCUACUUGAGCAAAUAUGAAAUUUACCUUGUCAAACUGCUGAAACACCCAUUGAUCCGAACCAUAAGUUGGAUGAUCAUGGAUGGAAGCCUUCACAAGGUGUUGGUAUGUUUCAAGAGUGGUUGGGAAGUUGAUCGAUUUGUCUCUUACCGGUCCUGAUUGCCUACACAAUUAAGUUAUCUCAUGCCUUUACCUAAUAGAGGCUUACUCUUUGCUAAUCAUGGGCAUUUAAAAGUUGAAACAUAUACUAAUGCAGAUUUGGUAGGAUGUGUUAUUGAAAGGAGGCCAACAUCAGGCUAGUGUAUAUUUGUUGGGGAUAAUUUGGUGACAUGCAGAAGUAAGAAACAAUCAAUGGUGGCUAGAUCAAGUACAGAAGCUAUAGAGCUACAAUUCAUGGGGGGUGUGAACUUCUUCAGUUGAAAAUUUUGUUACAAGAUUUGAGGUUUCUAAGCUAAUGAACUUUUUUUUUUUCUCCUAAGACGGACGAUUCAUAUAGAACUAGUACGGAUAUAUCAAAAAAAAAAUUAAAAGAUAAUACAUCACAGAAAGCUCGGGCAACUUCCUCUUUCCAACCCAUAGGGUCUCUCCUGAGUGGUCAGCCAUAAAGGAGGCCACUCAAUUCACAGCCCCAUUUGCCUCUUUAAAAAUAUGCUUGGUUAGGAAUGCCACCCCAUCGCCUACUAUAGCCUGAAUGCCCUGGUUCAGGGGUUGGAACCCGCCCGCAGCACCGAACCCUACCAGAAUCCAACUGAUCAUUGUAGAUGAAUCACCCUCAAGACGUCUGCUCUGGCCUGCAACAUAAGCCGAGCAUGGCCCAACCUUGCUCUUACCGCCUUCAGCUCAGCCUUCGAAACCAAGAUAUCAAAGAUCUGGCAUCCACCGGCUGCAACCACUUUGGAGUCUGGACCUCUAAUAAUGAAGCCAGCAUCUCUAUGCCUAUCACCAUCAAGUACACAUCCGUCAAAAAUGAUCUUGAGAAAAUUCAGAGGUGGGAGGUUAUAGGUGAAGAACACAUUGUGGUGGAUCAUAUGAACUCUUUCACAUUGUAUUUCCUCGUCAAGGUCUUUGAUUCAUAUGAGCUCUUUCACAUUGUCAUGGUCGAUGUGGAAAAAGAGCAUUCUUAUGGUGUUAAAAUGCCUAUUUUGAGCAUGUUGUCCUCGAAGACUUCAUUCUCCAUUUGGACCAUUUCCAUACCAUUCUGCGAGUACAUAACGUCUUCCAUUGGCCAAACGAAAUAAGUCAGCAACCGGCCAUGCGACUUCUCGUGUCUGAACCACUUUGGCGACCCAUGCCACCCUCUUCCCGUCAAAUCGACCAAGAUUGAGGUCAAAUCUCGUGACGGACGAAGCGCCGCGCGCGCCACGUGUUUCGGGCGUCCGUCCGCGUCCUCGACCCAACGCCGGCGCCGUUUCCUUCCGUGAAGCCGCCCGCUGCUUUGCCUGCCGGUCGCUGGACCGCUCCCACCCGGGAUCGCAUUUCAAAAAGUUGCAACCCUUCUUCCAAAAUUUCUGCUGGCUUUUCGGGUGCGAAGGCCGAGUCCCGUGGUCCUUACAGCAUGAGAGGGGAUGGGAUGAGUUUCUGUGUUGCAGCAUGUCAAUGCUCUUGGAUGAGUUCAAACUCGCCAUUGUCAUAGCCCUGCUUUAGUUGGUCAAGCCAUGGUGACCCAGCAUGUGGAUCAUUUCAAUUCAAAACGUUUGACAUGGAAUCUGCGUGAUUGAAUGGGUAAGACAUCUCCACGUGUAUGUGACGUGUUGGAGGCAAUUCAGCAAAGAAUGGCUGAGGUGAAUAGACAUGAAGGGUGAAUAGAAAUUUGGCAGCCCGGAUUGUGCUUAGGUCUAGCGGUUUGGUCUGCACCCGAAACUGGCACUACUACUUUGGAAGGUGGUCUAGAAUAGACUCCUCACGAGAUCUGUCUUGAAGAGACAGGGGAGGAGGGGUCUAGAAUAGACUUCUAACGAGAUCUGUUCUGAGCAGACAUGGGGGAGGGGGGAGAGAGCAUACCCCCACACUGUGCAUGGUGUGGGGACGAUGAGACCGUCGACCAUGUGCUCUUCCGGUGUGGCUGGGCGACGAAAAUCUGGCAGCUCUCCGGAUUUCCAUAGGGGGCUUGGGGCCAGAGGGACCAGUUUGUGCAGACUAUCCGGUGAUGGCCUGGCAGCCCCUAGCUGCGUCAUAUGGCUUUUGGAGAAACCUGCAUUGCCCAUCAGAUCUGGUUAGCGAAAAAUGCUUGGAUCUUCGAUGAAUGUAGCAUGUCUUCGCAAUUCGCGAUGGGGCGGGGCUGAGCACAGGCAGUGGAGCUUUUUCGGGAUACCCCCGUAGGUGGGUCUUUGAUAGCUCGAGAUAUCUGGGACUCUUCUUAUGCUCAGGUAGCGCCACGGAUGGUGUUCUUCAUCUGGGAGCCUCCAUCUCCGAGUUUCCUCAAAGUCAACUUCGAUGGGUCAAUACUAGAUGGAGGGCACAGAGGGGGCGCAAGUUUCGUUAUCAAAGACUCACGCUCGAGGGUGGUGGCGGCUGAUGGCUGUCAGUUUUCGGACACUACUGUUCUCGGACCUGAGCUGUGAGCGGCUUGGGCUGUCACUUUUCGGACACUACUGUUCUCGGAGCUGAGCUGUGAGCGACGGGUGCUGCAGGUCGACUCUAUCAUCAUGGAGGGUGACUCGGUCACGGUGAUAGGUUGGAUCCAGGGGGCCCGAGUGGACUGGGCAGGGACCACCCCCUGCUUCAAGAUAUUUGGUCGAUGGGCAGUGACGAAGUGGCAUUUUAGGCCAAGCACGUCUUUAGGAAGGCCAACAGUGCUGCAGACUGGAUGACCGCUUAUGCGGCCAAUCACGCCGGUGGCACUCUCUGGAUCCGAAAAGAGGAUUUGCCUAGGGCAUUCCGUGAUAUCUAUUUUCUGAUUUUAUUGGGUAUGUUCGUACUCGUAUAGUUUGACUCACCCGUCUUAGCAAGAAAAAAACAAGAAGAAAAAAAAAUGGCGCAUUGAGAGAUAGUGCACAAUGAACUCGGUCUGUUUGGUGUUGAUCACAUGUAAUAUCUGUGUCAAUGAUUUAGAUAUGUGAGAAUAUAUGGAACAAAAAUCAUAAAGGGCGGUCACCAAAAAGAUAUAUAUAUAGGGCAGGCUUCCUAUUUUGCCAUGUUUUCUUUAGUGAGCAUCUUAAAGAAGAAAUCCAAAAGUCAUGGAUUUCUUCUACUAAUGGAGUUGUUAGUUCCAUAUUUUUUUAAAAAAAAUUGCAGCACGUACUAUAUAGUCGAGCAAUACAAUUAAGCAAAUUAGUUAUUUAGCAAGUCAAUACAUAGAUAAAUCAAUUCACAAAUUCUAAAAUAUGGUGUUUACCAGUACAUAGUAUGCAAUUAGAUGAUACACACUUAGCAUAUUAGUCAUUUAGCAACCCAAUACACACUUUGAAGCAAAUUAAUGUACAGUUUUUAAAAUAUCAUAUUCAUCAAUACACGCUAUAUAACUGGUGAUACACACUCGUUGACUUUCUGAUAUAUACUGCAAGUUUAUCUGAUGCACAUCUAGUAGUGAUACAAUAUACACUUUUAGGUAAAACGAUAUACAGUUUUUAGAAUAUGCUUUUUAUUAGUAUAUACUAUAUGGCCAUAUGAUAGUAUGAUACACAUCAAGCAAUUAAUCAUUUUAUAUUUAUUUUUUUAAAAAAUUACAAGAUUGACGAAUUUCGUUAGUAGGAGGAGCUUUAUUCUUAUUUGACUUAUGAGUUUUUCCUUUAAAAUAUGCGCUAGAGAAAAUAUGACAAAACAUAAGUUCCGCGGCAUAUGAUUUUUGUUCGGAUGUAUGAGACUAAAGCGUGAGCGAUCUGCGUGCACUGACCUUUUUUAGAAGAAUACAAGGUUUUUGGGAAAGCUAAAAAGCUCUACUCGGAGUAUUUGGUGUUUCUCCGGGUUCUCCAGUGAGCAAGGGAUAUGCUUCAUGAGCAAUAUUUAUGUAUGUAAUUUUUUGGAUAGGAUAAUUCCACGCUAAAUUUUAAGCUAUUUUGUACUAUGUUUGCAAGGUUUUGCCUGUUAUCCAUUCAAAGGUGAAUCAUUCACAUUCUCAAUAGAGCACACGAUGCAAAAGCAAUAACAAAUGAUUCCAUCCGAAGGUUUGCACUUUUGAUCAUAUUUUUAAGUAUGUGGAUUAUCUAUGAACUAAAAAUUAUUUCUUUCCUUAAAAAUAUUUGAAAAAUCAUGAGAAAUUUUAGCAUACUAUGUUUUGCUAUAAAAUGUCUCAUUGUGGUUCUCGAACAUUUAGCAUAUAAUGUUAAUGGCUUAAUUAAUAUUUUCAAGGAAUAUAUUAUAUUUAAACACAAUCUGAAUCCGAGUCAAGUUUAACCAAUAUACAUUUAUAAUUAUAUCAUCUAAUAUCUCCCACCUAAUUCUCACCUUCUCAUAGCAGUGUUUUUUUAUUCGAGAUUGCAUCCUUCCCACCAACCGCUGCUCAUCAUUGUAUCUCUCUGGAGCAAGUAACCCAGAAUGAUGCAUGUUGAACUUAAUGACUUUCUCGAAAGAGGAGCAAGACUGAGCAAAGUUUCAAUUGGUGCAUUGGAGUCCAGUUGGUUAAGAUAGUGGGCUCAUAAGAAGAAAAAAAAAUUGCUCCAAGUGGUGCUAAGAAAUGGUACGACUCAAACAAUAAAUGGAGUUAAAUACUUGAAUUCAACCAUUCCCUCAUGCAAGUGGAAAAGACGCAGCGUUUGAGAAAGAAACAUAGCUCAUUCCUUUGCCAAACAUUUAGGAACACUUCCUUAGGCGUCCAUAUUAUGGAUCUCAUUCUCCUUUAUUUUCAAGAAAUUUUAUUUAUUUCCUGUCAACUGCUCUACUCUACAGCAUCAGGCUUCCUUUGUUAAUGAAAUAUCUAAUGAUUUUCUGCGAAGAUAACUUGCGUCCAAAUCUCCCACAGAGAAGCAAGGAAUAUCAGUCAAUACCGACAAUAGAUAUGCUUUCCAAGAUGACAUGGGAACCUCCAACAGAAAAAGAACCAACAACAAAAAAAAUCUAAAACUGCUAAUCAAUUGAAUUUAAUUAAUCCUAUUAAAACCAUGCUCUCCAAUGCAUCAACUCUACGGCAACAUACAUGUCUAAUUCUGUGAAAAUUCGUGCGAGCAUGUAUUAGUCCAAUAUCAGUUAUUCAUUGAGAAAAAUUUGGGUACUUAUGUAGAACUAAAAAAUUUAAAAAAUACUUCCCGCUAAUAUUUUUUUUUGAUGAAGUCCUAUAUUAUGAUAAAUAGUUUAAAGGACCAAAGAACACUGCAGUCUAGUUUAUAGAAAUUGGCUAUGGAUUUAUCGGGAUUUUUGUAAUUUGAUUUAAAUAUAUUUAAAUUUUCAGUCUGACGAGAAGAAUCACGUCCGGAUGUCAUGGUUGCAACAAAAGUCCGUCGGUUACUCAACUUCCGUCGGGGGUCCAACUUGGACUUCGUCGCUCUCUCCGUCCAAAUACUUUUCCACCGUCAAUCAAA